AUGCUCUGGAUGCUGCCAAGCCCUGGUGGAAUCGAGCCAACGAGCUGGUUAUUGGAGAGGUCCAGGACUUGUAGACGGGACAAAUUGGCUAGUGACGCUGGGAUGGGCCCUGUGAAGCUGUUGUUUCUCAGCGAGAUCGCUACCAGGGAUGUGAGCUUCUCACCGAGCUCAGCCGGGAUGCGCCCGCUAAGCUUGGUGUUGUACAGUCCCAUAUUGCUCCUGCAGGCGGCGGAGGCAGCCGAGGCUCGCCGGAAUGCCCCCAUGGAGCGAGUUGGUGCCCAGGUCGAGGGUCCGCAGGAACGUGAGGUUGCCGAUGGCCGGGGAGAGUGGCCCAGCGAGCCCGGUGGCGUUCAAUCUCAGCGCCACCACCCGCGCUGGCCUCCGGUGGCUGCACGUCACGCCUUUCCAGCUGCAGAAGCCGGCGCUGCUGUUCCAAGAGGCCAGCAAGCCACCAUUGCUGAGGUGCGCUUUGAAAGCAAGCAGCGCGGCCUCAUCGCCAGCGGACGCCGUCAUGGCGAUCGACAGGACGGCCAGGAAUGA
rnacentral:rRNA from 1 species